GACGAACGCUGGCGGCGUGCUUAACACAUGCAAGUCGAACGGAAAGGCCCCAGCUUGCUGGGGUACUCGAGUGGCGAACGGGUGAGUAACACGUGGGUGAUCUGCCCUGCACUCUGGGAUAAGCCUGGGAAACUGGGUCUAAUACCGGAUAGGACCGUGCUUUAGUGUGUGCGGUGGAAAGUUUUUCGGUGCAGGAUGAGCCCGCGGCCUAUCAGCUUGUUGGUGGGGUAAUGGCCUACCAAGGCGGCGACGGGUAGCCGGCCUGAGAGGGUGGACGGCCACAUUGGGACUGAGACACGGCCCAGACUCCUACGGGAGGCAGCAGUGGGGAAUAUUGCACAAUGGGCGCAAGCCUGAUGCAGCGACGCCGCGUGGGGGAUGACGGCCUUCGGGUUGUAAACCCCUUUCGGCAGGGACGAAGCUUUUGUGACGGUACCUGCAUAAGAAGCACCGGCUAACUACGUG
rnacentral:rRNA from 1 species